UACGUAGGGUGCGAGCGUUAAUCGGAAUUACUGGGCGUAAAGCGUGCGCAGGCGGUUUUGCAAGCCGGAUGUGAAAUCCCCGGGCUUAACCUGGGAAUGGCAUUUGGGACUGCAAGGCUGGAGUGCGGCAGAGGGGGAUGGAAUUCCGCGUGUAGCAGUGAAAUGCGUAGAUAUGCGGAGGAACACCGAUGGCGAAGGCAAUCCCCUGGGCCUGCACUGACGCUCAUGCACGAAAGCGUGGGGAGCAAACAGG
rnacentral:rRNA from 1 species